AGACAUGCCACUUGUAUGGGCCAC
rnacentral:siRNA from 1 species